ACCAGGUUGAUUCUGCCUGACGUAGACGCUAUACUCUAAGAUUAACCCAUGCAUGUUUAUUGAAUAUAAAGAAAAGACAAACAGCUCAGUAACUCUUAUUUGAUUUGAUGUAUUAGGAUUCUAACUAUGUUAAAUUAUAGGUAACAAUAAUACAAUAAGAAUAAGAUCUAUCAGUUAGUUGUUAAGGUAAUGGCUUAACAAGACUAUGACGGAUAACGGUAUUACUUUGUAAUAUUCCGGAGAAGGAGCCUGAGAGAUUGCUACUAAGUCUAAGGAUUGCAGCAGGGGCGAAACUUGACCUAUGAUAUUAUAUUGAGGCAGUUAUGAGUAGUAUUUUAUAAUUAUUGUAGUAUUGUAAGUACAUAUUACAAGAUAAAUCGGAGGGCAAAUCGAGUGCCAGCAGCCGCGG
rnacentral:rRNA from 1 species